rnacentral:rRNA from 1 species
GAAUGAGACACUUCAGAUGAUUUCCUCUGGCUAAUUGUGACUCUAUGGGCCAUCUGGGCGGCUAGACAGAAGGUAGUCCAUGAAAAUAUUUUUCAAGGCGUCAGUAAAAAAGCAAACUCGCUCCCGUGCGGCUCCUGCGGCCGCACCGGGGCGCCCAGAUCCAGCCGCCGGGGGACCUCCCCUGCCUCCCCACCUCCCCUCGCCGCCGCCGGAGGUCGUCGCCGGGCAAAUCCCGGUGGCGACGGCGGCGGCGGGGCUGUUUCUGUGGCGCGGUAGCUGCGGGCGUGGAGGGGGCUCGGCUGCGAGCUUCGGCGGCGGGGUCGCGUCUUGGCGUGCCGGGGGUGCGCGGUCCUGCAGGGGCCGCUCAAGGUGUGAGACGAUGCAGGCGAGGUGGCGGACGAGGAGCUGGACGCGACGGUGCUGACUGGUGGUGGUUGCGGUCUGCAGAGCUGGGCGGCGACGGAUCUGGGAGUUCUUUGCCCAGAUUUGGCACUGGUGGUGCUCGGGGCUGUGAAUCGGGGCAGAGGCCCAGCUAGGCAUGUUCACGGAUGCGCGUUAGGAGGUACGUGGACGCCGGGGCGGCGGCCCCGGGAUGGCGGCAAUGGCAUGGAGCUCGUCGUGGCUUGAGGUGCUACGUUCAGGUUCGUGCAGUGGUGGUGGUUGGCGGCAGCUGGUGGUGGAGGUGUGUUCUCCAGUGAUCCCGACGCCAUCCGGUGCUCUGGAUCCGCAAGUUCUGUUAUAUGGCGAGGAGCUCCGGCGAAAGCACUGCCUUGACCAAGGUCAGGCCGACGACGGCGGCGCUACUGGCAUCGUCUACCUUCUUGGAGGCGUCGUUGUGGAGCUCCGUCGACAUCAUGACUGAUUUGGCUCUCCGGAUGAAAAUGUUUGCCUCGGUAUUCCGAAGCGGGCGGCGGCGGCGUCUACGAUCGUGACCUCCUUGGAGGCGUUGUUUGGGAGAGACUGUCGCGAGCGAUCUCUUCACCACCAAGGUUAGUGGAUGUUGGGGCAGCGGCCCCGAAUUUGUGCGUCGAGACGGCGGUCUCGAAAACCAAUGCGGUGCCAACUCCAUGAGGGAGGGUUGCUGCUCAGCAUGGCUUGGGUGGCGAUCUUGAGCGGCGAGGGCGGCAGGGUCGUCGGCUCGGUCGACGCGUUCAAGAGUGGACGGUUGGACGAUAUGUCGGGGCAGCGGCCCCGGAAGUGGUGCGACGGCUGUGGUCUGCGGGCAGUCACCCUGUGCAGCGUGGGUUGCGGGUGGCUGCGUCGUGCGGCGUUGUAGCUCAAGGGUGAGCGGUGGUAUGUCGGGGCAGCGGCCCCGGAAGUGGUGCGACGGCCGUGGUCUGCGGGCAGUCACCCUGUGCAGCGUGGGUUGCGGGUGGCUGCAUCGUGCAACGUUGUAGCUCGAGGGUGAGCGAUGGUAUGUCGGGGCAGCGGCCCCGGAAGGUGGUGUCGGUGGACCGCACAGGGUGCAACGGAGCGGUGGAUGUCGGGGCGGCGGCUCCGAGACUUUGCAGCAUUGAGAACUUCAGCUUCGUGUCGUCUGGGCGACGAGGUUGCCUUCGAUGUUGCUCGUUGUCAUAUCAGGGAAGCGGGUCAUGUGGAGUGCAUGCUCUUCAUUUCUACGGGAGGGUCUCGUGGCUGCUCCUCUCAUAGUGGUCAUGGAUUCUUCUCUCCGACAGCGGUGGAAGUUGUGUGUUCGACAUGUUGUCGGCAAAAGUGGGCUUAGUCAUGUGUGCGUGAUUGUGUGGGAGUAGGCUUGGCCCUUGUUGUAUCGGUUUUCGCCCAGUUUUUCACUAAUUAACUAAGCAAUUUUUUUGUGCUUAAUUAAUAAAUGAGGCAAAGCUUUUGCCUUCAUUUCAAAAAAAAUAUUUUUCAAACGCCAUAUGGAACACACUGUUUCAUCAACUCUUACAUCGACGAGAUCAAGGUCCUCCAGAAACCAACCACUACAGCCGCUGGCUCUUCAGAAACCCCGAGGCCACGGCAUUGGCUUCCUCCUGCGGUUGGGCACUCCAAAGCGAACAUCGACGCAGCUGUAUCAAGGGCCGGUGGCAAAGGAGCCGUGGCUGCAAUCUGUAGAAGCCAUUCAGGAGCGUAUGAGGGGGCGUCGGCGUGAUUUUCAACUACAUUGAUGAACCAACAGUACUCAAGACACUGGCGAUCAGAGAAGCGUUGGCCUUGGCAAAUGACUUGUACAUCAGGGUGAUUUGGUGCCCGAGCCCAGAUGAUCCUGAAAUCUUCGGCGCCAGUUCCAGGCUCGGGAUCCGAAUAAUUCGUUCUGACGCGUCUGACAUCGAGCGUGGAAAAAAGGACGUACGGUGAAAUACGGUACGAAACAGUGGCUAUUUCUGGGCCCAAAGUGUAUGGUUCGGACGGCGCUCGCGCACGGGAACUCUGGUCCGUGGACCAGAUCGUUACUAGUCCAACCGAGCCAGGGAUCAGAUAGGUGUGCUGCGACGGAAGUGGACGACCGAGUCGUUUGUCCCUCUCCCCCCACCUCUGUCUCCGUUCUGAGUAGGUCCUUGCGGCGGCGCUCGUUCUGCACCGGCGGGCACGGAGAAAUGGAAGAUGGUGGGGUUGAGUUCCUGCUUGAUGUCAUUGGCAGGUUCCCAUUACGAGAGGAGUUCGCGGACAACCUCGAGCACCCAGAUCCGGUUCCCCUGGUCUUGUUACCAAACAGCGGAGCCGGCCUUGCCGUUCCUGCGGACUCAAAUACUGGGUCUGUUUGCGCUCAACAGCUCGGCGGCGAUGGGAAUGAUAUGGCAGGAGUUGGAGUCCGCCGUCGUGCGGAUGCAUCACCGACGAGGUUGACUCAGUCUACUGACAGAGUCAAUCCAGAGGUACCUGGGAGGACAAAAAGGUUAUGGCUGGGCAGUGAGCCACCAGAUGACGAUGGACUCUAAAGUCAUGGGCUAUAGAGUUGAUUGGCUAAAGAAGUUCAUGUUCCCGGUGCAUUUCAUGGAUUGCUGGUCAUUAUAUAUCUUGGAUACCGAUAAGAAGAUUGUGAUGGUGCUUGACCCAAUGGAGACAAAUCUGUCGGAUGAGAUGAAAAUCAAGCACGGGCCUCUAGCAAGGAAGUUUCAGCAGAAGUUAUGCACCCUAUUCAGUGACAUGUUCGGAGCCGGUUUGGUUGAGACCACUGGAUGGUCGUUUGUGUACCCUUUGGUGGCGCAGCACGAGCCAUGCAGUAGGGAAGACAGUGGCGUAUAUGUUGCUCACUACGUCCUGGAGUUCACCGGUCUAUACCUUAGAUCAACUAUAACCCAGGGUCAGAUCGAGCACCUGCGCAAGAAGAUUGCAUACGAGAUAGUGAUCAUGAAGGGAAACUAGGGAGAUAUCCCGGAGUUCCUGUACGAGGAGAUCAUUGACUGACGAGAAAGACAUUAGCAAUUCCAGUUUGCAUGCAGCCCAGCAAUAUCUUUUGGCUAUGCGUGUACUCAUCGUUAGAUGGGCACGUUUAAGUUCUAGUGUCAUUUCGCAUUAGAAAACCCUACGAGCAUUGUGCAUCUGGAAAGCUAUGGGCAUGGGAUGUAUCCUAAUGGAGAUCUAAUUAGAGUAAUUUGAACUAUGUAGUACGUGUUAGAGAUUAUGUGAACAGAUGACUGAUCUGUCUGAAUUUAAAUACAGUAUGCUGCAACUACUUGUGGUUAUUUGAUUCACUGCUUAACAUACC